ACAAAGUACCACAGCGGGGAGCUUGAAGCAACAGUUCUGGAGGCCAGAGUUGACAUCAGUGUCCCUGGGCUGAAGUCCAGUGUCACAAGGCUACGCUUCCUUGGAGGCCCUAGGGAAGGUCCUUCCUGCCUCCUCCAACUUCUGGGGACUCCAGGCACCCCUCGGCGGUGGCCACAUCACUCCAGUCUCUGCCCCCCCCUUCACACGGCCAUCUCCUUCUGCCUGUGUUAAUCGUCUUUUUCUUUUUUCAGUUUUUCUUAAGGCAAGCUUGUUUUUGUAGUAAAUACGCGUAACACAAACGUUGCCAUUUUAACCCUCUUUGCCGCCCUCUUUUAAGGACCUUGUGACUGCGUUUUGGGCCAGGAUGGCCUCCCCACUGCCACAUCUUUCCCUCACUCGCCUCUUUAGAACCCUGCACAGCAGGUCCCAGUCCCAGGCUGCGUGCGGAUUGGGACGGUCAAUCGGGAUGGUCAUCCUUCGGCUGGUCUGAGAAGGGCCCUGGCGCGGACCCACGCCCUCUGGGUGGCUCUUUGCUCCCCUGCGGGCCCCACCUCUGUCCAGAGAAUCCAGGCCAGCGAGUAGGGGCUGGAGGAGCAGUACCCAGGGGCCGGGAUGCGUAGUGGCCUUUGGCAUGGGGGACACCGCCUGGCCUGGUGCCACACCUCCCUUCAAAGGCACGACAGCACCACUAGGCACGGAAGAGGUCCUCCCCUCCCAAAGGUUCUACCUACUGAGGGACCCACUGAGGCUUGGAACGGGAUGGGGGUGAAGAUGCGGCCCUGGCCACAUGGCAAGCCACGGAAGCCAGGGGGAGCUCUGAGCUCAGACCCCUCCCCAGUGGCCACCCAAGACUGGGCUGGCUUUGCUCCCAGGGGGCUUCUGUCCCUGGGGGUCUGGCCUCAUCCAGGUCCCUGGAAGGGAUCUGAGAUCCAGGGAAGCUCCAGAGGGUCCUGCAGGCUGGGAGUCUGCCCUGGGGGCUCCUGGCCCUUUACCACGUAGUGGUGUGCAGAGGGGCUGGGAACAUCCACGCAGGCCCUCAGCUGCCCCUGCCCCAGCCCAGCCCCCAGCCCAGACAGCGUCCUGGCUCCUCCUGUCCCCUCCCCUCAUCCCCCUGCCCCCACGACUGCAGGCCUUUCCCCAGUCCUUUGCUGGCCCUUUUGUGGAUCAAGGUCAGGGGAGGAUGUGGGGGUCUCUUGCCCUGACAGGCCCCUCCAAGCCCCCACAGCCGUGGCUCCUGGGUGGUGGCUGGGGAGGCUGCUGCCCACCAACCCUUCUUCCUCCCCAGACCCCUAUUGCCCAGGUGGUUCCUCCUGCCAGACCUGGGCUCCCAGGGCAGGCAGGAGGGGGCCUCUUUUCCAGCAUUUCGGCUUUCCAGCAUAUAUUCAAUCAACUUAGGACACACCCAGGCGAACCGCCCAGCAAAAGGACGGGGCUGUGCUGGAAACAGACUCUGUCCGCCUGGACCUGGCUGAGGGUCCCAAACCCAGCAAGGGCAGCCACAGCUCCAUGUGGGAACCUCCUUAGUGGCCCCUGGGCCCCCCCAGCUUUUCUGCUGUCCCACAGUGACCCCUGCACCCUCCGAUGUGUGCAUCGGUGUCCUGGGGCUCAAUACCACAAACUGAGUGCCCAAAACUGCAGAGGUCUCUUCUCUCCGUUCCGGAGACCACAAUCCAAAAUCCUGGUGCUAGCAGGUCCACCCUCUCCCGCAGGCAAAGGGGGUCCUCCGCCGUCUCCAGCUCCUGGUGGCCCUGGGCUUGUGGCAGUGUCGCUCUGAUCUCUGCAUCUGUCCCGGCGUGGCUUCUGCUCUGUGUCUCUGGGUUUGUUCCUUCUCUUCGUAUGAGUCACCGGAUCUGAGCCCCUGAGUCCAGAAUGGCCUCACCCUUCAGAUCCUCAACUAAUCACAUCUGCAAAGACCCUGUUUCUACAUAAGGCACAUUCUAGGGUUCUGGGAGGACAGGAAUCUUUCGGAGGCCCUGUUCAAACACUAUAGGGGACCUGGAGUACUCUCCACAGACCCCUCCUUCUGAGGUCCCCCCAGGCAGCUGUGUGGCCCUCGACAGGCCCCUCCCUUCUUAGGACUCCGUUUUCCUGUCUGUACAGGGAGGGGAUUGGGAAUUGAGCCACCAAGGGAUCCUGGGCUGGGUUUGUCAUGUGUCCACCACACACCCCCUCACGCAGCUGCCUCCUGUCGGGGGAGGGGGGGCGGGCAGGGAUAGGCCCCGGCGCUGCUCCCACCAAGAUUAACCUCAGGAUCACAUGGGGGAGCCCAGCACCCGCUCUCGUCGGGGGAGGACCCUGUCAGAUCUGUUGUCUGCUAGAGGGAAGGUUCAGGGUCAUCCUUGAAGCCAGCGGUGGGGGGCCCAUCUGUGCCUGCAGGAGCCCAGACUCUGGCAGGGCAGAGGAAGCUCCAAUCCAGGUGGGUGGCCGGGGCCUUCAGGUUGGGCCUCUCGGGGCAGCCCAGCCCGGCGCAUCUCAGCCCAGCCGACCCGGCCGGAGCUAGGGAUCCCAAUGAAAUACAUGACACACCUGGUGAGGUUUCAAUGUCAGAUGAAAAAUAAUCGUCUUCAGUAUAAGCACGUCCCCGAUAUUGGAUAGGAUACACUUCCACUGGGAAAUGAUUCACUGUUUAUCUGACAGUCAUAUUUAACCAGGCAUCCUGUGUUUGUAUUUGCUGACACUCAACUUGACCUCUGUUGCAUGACUGAAUGAAUGAAUGCCUGCAUACGUGGAGGAAGGAACAAGCAGACUGGCCACGCCCCUCGCCCAGCACUGGCCUGCCUGGAUCCUGCAGCUGGACGCGCCGGAUGAUGGAGACGGAACACUGGAGGGAGCGCAUUGGGAAUUACAACCUGAAGCCCAAACGGAUGGUGGCUUCCUGACGCGGAGGAUGCCAGCCCCUCCCACUGGGCAUCUGUGUUCUGUUUUACACUAAUGCGGGAGGAAUUUCAUUUUGUGUCACGCACAUGAGUCCCUGCGACAUAGGCUUGGUGACGAAGCCGUGUGCCCUGUUGUGCCAGCCCCAGGGGUGGGACGGGGGAUGCAGCCCCAGGGGACGUGGGAUUCGCCCUCUCAGGGUCUCCCUGGAUAUCCCUGGGGUUUGGUUGGGGAAGCCAGAGCCCCCCGCUUAAGUCAUAAAGAUGCAAAGGCUGAGGACUGAGCCAGCCCUGGGCCCAGGGGUAUCACGGACCCUCCUCCAUGCCCCUGCAGCCAGGUGAUGCCCCAUAAGACACCGCUCACAUGUGGUGGGCCCUGGUCACCGACAGCCUCUGUGGCCUUCUGGCCCUCCUGUUGAUCCUGCCCACUCCUUGGCCACCCAGGGCUGGAGGCGACCCAAGCCCCUGGAACCCACCGUCGGAGGGAGACACAGGGCUAGGAGGAAGGUGCAGCCCACCCCAGGAGGCACAGUCUCCACAGCAGAGGCGUCACCUUCCCCCAGUCGGACUCAGGCCCACCUUCCAGGACCCUGCUUACUGGCAGGGAGCCCAGGAGACAAGGGUGAGCAGGCCCGGCCCCCAGCCCUGUCCACAGCCGAGUGGGGGCGACACAGGCAAACCCUGAGCUGGAAAGAGACUGGAAAAAUCAUGACGCGCAGUUCACUCACUCAGGACACCGUAAAGCACAUGGAACCUGCCAGAACUUUCAGACACCAUCCCGGGCCUUUCCUGCUCCAAUAAACCAGACCUUGACUCAAUCACGCAGGCGGCAGACCAAGGGGGUCCAGGAAAGACAGACAGGCAGCCCCACAGCUCUGGGAUUGGUUCCUGGUAUGCACACGGUCGGCACCCUCCCCCGCCCAGGAGUCCCCAGCCUGCCUGGGCCCCACUGGCCUGGCCAAGGCCAUUUCUCAGGCUGGCUGUGUCCUCCCAAGCCUGUGGGUGUUUGCUCUGGAAAGGGACCCAGGGAGAGAAGGGCCAGGGGCAGGACUGGGAUCCCACCUGGCCCCUCCCUGCCCUAUCAGUAUGCCUGCACACAGCAGGAUGGCCCCGGGCAGAAUGUUCAAUAUAACCACCCCCCACCUCACCACCCCUGGGCACUGAGCAGGCUGGCGUUUCCCUGAGCUCAGCAGCUCUGGGCAGGAGGCACGCCAGGGGACCUGGUGCUGGAGCGGAGUGGCUUCCAGGCUGGGGCUGGCCCAGCAGCUCAGGCUGAGAGUGUUGGGGGCCACUUCAGCCCCUUCUGGGGGGGUCCCCCAGUCCAGGGGCCACGCUUCCCAAACCCAGCUCCAGGCCUCUCC